rnacentral:rRNA from 1 species
AGUGAACGCUGGCGGUAGGCCUAACACAUGCAAGUCGAACGGCAGCACAGUAAGAGCUUGCUCUUACGGGUGGCGAGUGGCGGACGGGUGAGGAAUACAUCGGAAUCUACUUUUUCGUGGGGGAUAACGUAGGGAAACUUACGCUAAUACCGCAUACGACCUACGGGUGAAAGCAGGGGAUCUUCGGACCUUGCGCGAUUGAAUGAGCCGAUGUCGGAUUAGCUAGUUGGCGGGGUAAAGGCCCAGCAAGGCGACGAUCCGUAGCUGGUCUGUGAGGAUGGUCAGCCACACUGGAACUGAGACACGGUCCAGACUCCUACGGGAGGCAGCAGUGGGGAAUAUUGGACAAUGGGCGCAAGCCUGAUACAGCCAUACCGCGUGGGUGAAGAAGGCCUUCGGGUUGUAAAGCCCUUUUGUUGGGAAAGAAAAGCAGCAGGUUAAUACCCCGCUGUUCUGACGGUACCCAAAGAAUAAGCACCGGCUAACUUCGUG